CCACAUGCUGAAAGUCAGAGCUCAGACUCACACUGCCCGCCCCCGCGCAGGACACUAACGACUUGGGAAUCACUAGGAGCAGAGCCUGGCAUGUGCGGGAGCCACCCUAAGAGAAACCGUCCCAGAAGAGAGGUGCUAACUAGGUGAAGACAUAUGACUCUGAGCUCCACUUCCUGAUUCUAAUGGAGGGAGAGUCUGGCAUGGAGCCAGGAAGCAGAAAAGGCAUGAAAGGAAGAACUAAUUUGGAGCUGGCGCAAACAGUCCAAUGCAGAUGUGCCAGGCGGGCACCAACUUCCUCAAUGAGCAGGCAAAGUAGUUCCAGAUCCCGGAGGGUAACCUGCUGCCAAAGCGACAAAGGUCCUGCUCGGCACACCUGGAGCUGGAGCAGGAAAACGAGAAGGGAACCCUUGGGGGGUGUGGCCGAGCACUGCCUGUAUCGUGUCUGUAUCGGCUGUAUCGUGUCUGGACCAGAGAGCGCUGGGCUGGCAGGUCAUCACAGAGCAGGUCCAAGAGAACCCGGCAGGAGCAAUCCGCGGGGGCGCACACGUGGUCACUGGUGAUUCGGCGUGUUCUCCACGUCAACCGGCAGAUCACAAAAGCAACUGCAGCUCCUUGGAACUUUCCACCACAGAUGGGCGAUGGUGACCCCAGGUGACAUCUGACUGCGAUGACAAAGUGACUUGGGUUGAGAGAUUAGAAUCUCUAACUGCCUUGCGGUUUCAGAAGGCAAAAGGAGACAGACCUAAAAGAGGGGUGAGAGCUUAAAAAUUCAGGGUGAAUCGCUCCAGGACGAUAGACUUGUCUGGUGGGUCAUUCGUGUGGCUUCCUGAGGAAAAGCUUUUCAAGCCCCAGUUUGAUACCGUUGAAAUGGGCUGUGGAAACACAGGAAGCCCAUCCCUCAACCGAGCAGCUCACUGGCAACUGCUUCCAGAUGGAGUGGCGGUUCACCCCGUGAGGGCAGACAGACAGCGAAGGGAAAGCGGCCAGCUGACACCGAUGUGGAAGACUGUGGCAUUAUAAAAACUGUAUUCUCUCUUAAAGGCGUGCACAGGGCAGAUGAGCCCUGAGUCACAGCUUAUACCUGAUGGGAUAACACUGUGUUCCUGCCAAAACACUCAUUCUCUCACUCCGUAAUCGGACGCCGGGCACCCCUUCCUUCUCCUUGGCACUUCCCGCCAUUCCGACGAGGAACUUCAUUGCGGGGACACUGUGUGCUUUUCAGCGUGUCCCACAUGGCCAGAAGGCAAGGCUAGGAAUCGUUGGAAAUAUUUGUAGAUAAAGAGGCC
rnacentral:lncRNA from 1 species